rnacentral:rRNA from 1 species
UGUUUCCCAUUAAUCAAGAACGAAAGUUAGGAGGUGCGAAGGCGAUCAGAUACCGCCCUAGUUCUAACCAUAAACGAUGCCAGCCAGCGAUCCGGCUGUGUUCCUCAAAUGACACGCCGGGCAGCUUCCGGGAAACCAAAGCUUUUGGGUUCCGGGGGGAGUAUGGUUGCAAAGCUAAAACUUAAAGGAAUUGACGGAAGGAUACACAAGGCGUGGAUCUUGCGGCUCAAUUUGACUCAACACGGGAAAGCUCAUGAGACCCAGACACAGGAAGGAUUGACAGAUUAAGAGCUCUUUCUUGAUUCUGUGGGUGGUGGUGCAUGGCCGCUCUUAGUCCGUGGAGUGAUUUGUCUGAUUAAUUUCGAUAACGAACGAGGUUCUAGCCUGCUAAAUAGACGUUCCGAUCCUUGUUGUCGGACGUUCUUCUUAGAGGGACAAGCGGUGUUUAGCCGCAUGAGACAGAGCCAUAGCAGGUCCGAGAUGCCCCUCGAUGCUCUCAGCAGCACGCGUGAUACAUUGAAGGAAUCAGCGUGUGCUUUCCCUGUCCGGUAGGACUGGGUAACCCGUUGAACCUCCUUCGUGAUGGGGAUAGAAGAUUGGAAUACCUUCUUGAACGAGGAACGCCCAGUAAGCAUGAGUCAUCAACUCGUGCUGAUUACGUCCCUGUCCUUUGUGCACACCGCCCGUCGAUACUCCCGAUUGAAUAAUUUAGUGAGGUCUUCGGACUGGCGCUCGGAUUGGCCUCCUGGUCGAGCCGCGUGCCGGAAAGAUGACCAAACUUGAUU